rnacentral:pre_miRNA from 1 species
AGUACAAUAGCUGGAUUGUAUGGUAGCUGAGUGUUUUAUUUAAAAAUUGCCAAACUAUUAUCAGUGACUAUCAUUUCACAUUCCCACUAGCAAU